rnacentral:rRNA from 1 species
AGUGAACGCUGGCGGUAGGCCUAACACAUGCAAGUCGAACGGCAGCACAGUAAGAGCUUGCUCUUACGGGUGGCGAGUGGCGGACGGGUGAGGAAUACAUCGGAAUCUACUUUUUCGUGGGGGAUAACGUAGGGAAACUUACGCUAAUACCGCAUACGACCUACGGGUGAAAGCAGGGGAUCUUCGGACCUUGCGCGAUUGAAUGAGCCGAUGUCGGAUUAGCUAGUUGGCGGGGUAAAGGCCCACCAAGGCGACGAUCCGUAGCUGGUCUGAGAGGAUGAUCAGCCACACUGGAACUGAGACACGGUCCAGACUCCUACGGGAGGCAGCAGUGGGGAAUAUUGGACAAUGGGCGCAAGCCUGAUCCAGCCAUACCGCGUGGGUGAAGAAGGCUUUCGGGUUGUAAAGCCCUUUUGUUGGGAAAGAAAAGCAGCAGGUUAAUACCCCGCUGUUCUGGCGGUACCCAAAGAAUAAGCACCGGCUAACUUCGUG